rnacentral:lncRNA from 1 species
ACUCCAGGGGAGGCCAGCUGCCAUGCUGUGAGCACACUUAAGCAGCCCUAUGGAGAGGUCCAUGUGAUGAUGAACUGAGGCCCCAGCCAACAGCCAUGUGAAGGAGCCAUCGUGGAAGCAGAUCCUCCAGCUCCUCUUGAGCCUCCAGAUGAUUUCAGCCUCAGCCAACAUCUUGACUGCAAGCUCAUGAGAGACCCGAGCCAGAACUACCCAGUUAGGUGCUUCUGGAUUCCUGACCUACAGAUACUGGGCUGGGCAGUGGCUCAACUCGAGGCAGAUCACCCACCCACUUCCAAGAUCCAACUAUAAGCUUUUUAACUGCAGCAACUUAAGUAUACGCUACUAGAACUGGAAUUAAUCAUUCUAUACUUAAAACAAAAAACCCUAGGGUCUCCUGGAUUUCUGGGACAUGCAAUUGUCAUCAGUAAGAAGGAAUUUCAAAAUAAAGGACUCCACCUUUUCUAAAAUUUAU